GUCACACAGCAGUCCCUUAAUGAAAAUCAAAAAGUGCCGGAGUGGCAGGAGAGCGAAAGGAGGGUCCGCCAGCAGAAUGCGGCUCACCGGCACCAAAGCACGGAGCAGCUGCUAAGCAUCAUGGAGCGCCCAGAGGACUCGAUACAGGCGCUCGUAGCAAUGC